rnacentral:rRNA from 1 species
CCUACGGGUGGCAGCAGUGAGGAAUAUUGGUCAAUGGACGAGAGUCUGAACCAGCCAAGUAGCGUGAAGGAUGACUGCCCUAUGGGUUGUAAACUUCUUUUAUAAAGGAAUAAAACGAGGCACGUGUGCCUUUUUGCAUGUACUUUAUGAAUAAGGAUCGGCUAACUCCGUGCCAGCAGCCGCGGUAAUACGGAGGAUCCGAGCGUUAUCCGGAUUUAUUGGGUUUAAAGGGAGCGUAGAUGGGUUGUUAAGUCAGCUGUGAAAGUUUGCGGCUCAACCGUAAAAUUGCAAUUGAUACUGGCAGUCGUGAGUACAGUUGAGGUAGGCGGAAUUCGUGGUGUAGCGGUGAAAUGCUUAGAUAUCACGAAGAACCCCGAUUGCGAAGGCAGCUUACUAAACUGUGACUGACAUUGAUGCUCGAAAGUGUGGGUAUCAAACAGGAUUAGAUACCCUAGUAGUC